AAAUCUGUUGAAAUUACUGGAAAAAUCUUGGCUUUUUUCAUCCAUAGUUUCAGGGAAUAAUGGUGAAGAAGGCUAAGAGAAAGGCUAGAGGUGGUGCAAAGGAGAAGCAGAAUCGCAUGGCAUCACCAAAUCCCAUCCCUCAACAAGACACUCAAAAUGUUAAUGCACCUGAGGAUGGAGUUACAGCUGUGAAUGAAAAAAAGAUAUGCCCCCAUAUCGAUAAGGGUAUUGAUGUGGAGAAAGUCUCUGCUAAACUUGGCUCUUCAGGACCUGUUAGGUGUGAAGAUUGCAGGGAAGGAGCAGCUAAUCGACGGGCUGCUA
rnacentral:misc_RNA from 1 species